UUCCCUCCAAAGUUUUCCUUAGGUUAGCUGGAGUUCCUACAGACAUGCAGUAUAAUCCAGCAAAACAAAUUAUUUAGGAGCCUUGGGGCCAAAAUGAUCUCAAACUAUUCUCAAAUUUUAAAUGGGUAAAACCUCUGAGUUGCUGACAUGGAGCCAGGGUCACUUUUAGUAAGCAGAACUGGCACUGUGGGAUGAACUGAAUGCCAGGCUAAGGCUUUAAAUGCUGAAGCUGAUUAGACUCCAGUAAAGAUAUUAGUUGAUAUACACAGCAAGACAGGAGUCAAAAAAGUAAAGAGUCUGUUAUCACCUAACCAUGAAAAUAAAUGGCACUAAAACAUCAAUUCCAUACACGAGUGUGGCUGGCAAUGAACAUGAAAGUAGGAAUGGAAAGGGCCUGCCACCUCAACUGCCCAGAUCCCACUCCACACUGAUGCUACACAGCAGUGAGUAGAAGGGCCCCGACGUUGAGUUCUCAAGAUGAGGAUGUGAGGCUGGGUAAAGCUGCUGCAGGUG
rnacentral:ncRNA from 1 species